rnacentral:rRNA from 1 species
GACGAACGCUGGCGGCGUGCUUAACACAUGCAAGUCGAACGAAGUGGCGAACGGGUGAGUAACGUGUAAUCAACCUGCCCUUCAGAGGGGGUCAACAGUUGGAAACGACUGCUAAUCCCGCAUACUGAGGCGGGGAUUGCUUCUGGUUGGCUCGUCUGAGGGGUAACGGCCCACCAAGGCGAUGAUCAGUAGCCGGGCUGUGAUGAUUAACGGCCACAUUGGGACUGGGGAAAGGCCCAGACUCCUACGGGAGGCAGCAGGGGGGAAUCUUCCGCAUUGGACGAAAGUCUGACGGAGCAACGCCGCGUGAGUGAUGACGGCCUUCGGGUUGUAAAGCUCUGUUAAUCGGGACGCGGUACCGGAAUAGAAAGCCACGGCUAACUACGUGCCAGCCGCCGCGGUAAUUC